rnacentral:rRNA from 1 species
GAUGAACGCUGACAGAAUGCUUAACACAUGCAAGUCUACUUGAUUCUACUUCGGUAGUUGAUGGUGGCGGACGGGUGAGUAACGCGUAAAGAAUCUGCCCUUUAGUUUGGGAUAACCUUUGGAAACGAAGGCUAAUACCGGAUAUUAUGGAGACGUCGCAUGGCGACUCCAUGAAAGCUAUAUGCGCUAGAGGAGGACUUUGCGGCCCAUUAGUUAGUUGGUGAGGUAAUGGCUAACCAAGGCCGCGAUGGGUAGCCGGCCUGAGAGGGUGAUCGGCCACAAGGGAACUGAGACACGGUCCUUACUCCUACGGGAGGCAGCAGUGGGGAAUAUUGGACAAUGGGCCACAAGCCUGAUCCAGCAAUUCUGUGUGCACGAUGAAGGUCUUCGGAUUGUAAAGUGCUUUCAGUAGGGAAGAAAAAAAUGACGGUACCUACAGAAGAAGCGACGGCUAAAUAUGUGCCAGCAGCCGCCGUAAAAC